rnacentral:rRNA from 1 species
GACGAACGCUGGCGGCGUGCUUAACACAUGCAAGUCGAGCGGAAAGGCUCCUUCGGGGGUACUCGAGCGGCGAACGGGUGAGUAACACGUGAGUAAUCUGCCCUCCACUCUGGGAUAACGUUCAGAAAUGGGUGCUAAUACCGGAUGUACACAGGCUGGCGCAUGUUGGUGUGUGGAAAGGGUUUUCUGGUGGGGGAUGUGCUCGCGGCCUAUCAGCUUGUUGGUGGGGUAAUGGCCUACCAAGGCUUUGACGGGUAGCCGGCCUGAGAGGGAGACCGGCCACACUGGGACUGAGACACGGCCCAGACUCCUACGGGAGGCAGCAGUGGGGAAUAUUGGACAAUGGGCGGAAGCCUGAUCCAGCAACGCCGCGUGAGGGAUGACGGCCUUCGGGUUGUAAACCUCUUUCAGUACCGACGAAGCGCCGAUGAUGGUGGUGACGGUAGGUACAGAAGAAGCACCGGCCAACUACGUGCCAGCAGCCGCGGU